UUUUUUUUUUUUUGUCUUUUGUUGUAGUUGUUGUUGUUGUUGUUGCUAUUUCUUGGGCCGCUCCUGCGGCAUAUGGAGGUUCCCAGGCCAGGGGUUGAAUUGGAGCUGUAGCCACCGGCCUACGCCAGAGCCACAGCAACACGGGAUCCAAGCCGCGUCUGCAACCUACACCACAGCUCACGGCAACGCCGGAUCGUCAACCCACUGAGCAAGUGCAGGGACCGAACCCGCAACCUCAUGGUUCCUAGUCGGAUUCGCUAACCACUGCGCCAGACGGGAACUCCCCUCAGUGUGAUUUUGAUGUGCAGCUCCCUGAUGAUUAGCAUUUCCUAUGCCUGUUGGCCAUCUGUACUUCCUCUUUGGAAAAAUGUCUAUUAGUUCCUCGGCCCAUUUUUAGAUUGGGUUGUUUGAUUUUUUGAUGUUGAAUUGUAUGAAAGGGAGAUUGACCCCUUAUUGGUCAUAUUAUUUGCAAAUAUUUGCUCCCAUUCAGUAGGUUAUUUUUUUCAUUUCAUCAACCUUUGCUGUGCAAAAGCUUUUAUGUUUAAUUAGGGCCUAUCUGAUUUUUUUUUUUUCCUUUACUUUGGGAGGGGGAUCCAAAAAAAUAUUGCUGUGAUUUAUGUCAGAGAGUGAUCUGCCUAUAUUCUCUUCUAGGAGUUUUGUAGUAUUGGGUCUUAUAUUUAGUUCUGUGAAAAAUACCAUUGGUAUUUUCAUAGAGAUUGCUCUAAAUCUGUAGAUUGCCUUGGGUAAUAUGGUCAUUUUAACAAUAUUUAUUCUUCCAGUCCAAGAACAUGGUAUGUCUUUUUUUCUAGGUUGUCCAUUUUAUUGUAUAUGAUUGCUCAUAGCAGUCUCUUAUAGUCUCUUCCGUAAGCGAUGCCAGGAAAACUGGCCAGCUUUGUGUAAAAGUAUGAAGUUAGAACAUUCUCACCCUAUCUGGCUUGUAAGAAAUGAGGCAGAAGGUCCGUGUGGAGUCACUGGUUCAGCUGCACAUGGUGGAAGUCCAGUCAGUGCUGACCCUCCUCGGACCUGAAGUGGUCAUAGUCACAGAUGAUGUUUCCAGUCUGAGCAACAUUCCCGGACACGUGGAGGAGCUAGGGUAGACCCCAUGUAGCUGCUGUCCCAGGUCUGGUUCCCUCCCCUUUUUCCUCUCUUACCAAAUCCUGAUUGAGUUUGGCGGGGUCACCUGCCCAAUAAAAUACUCACCUUCCACAUGCCCUGACAGCUGGGUGUGGCAUGUGACCCCAUUCUAGUCAAAGAACCGAAAGAGAAAAUGUCUAGGUGAGGGUUCUUUUCUUAAAUGGUUUUUUCUUUUAGCUUUGGGAUAUGAAAACAUUAGGUGAUUUGAAAGUCAGGAGUAUGAAAUAAGGUACAUUCACCUCCAUCCCUACCUCCCACACCUGUUCCUUCCUCCCCCUUUAGAUGUAGAUGUGCUUGUUUGUCUCCCAUGCAAAUGUCUGUGUAUUUCUUUCCUUCUUUUUUUUACGUAAUAGGAUAUGUAUCAAUAUAUCUAUAGCUAUACUGUUCUCCUUGUUCUUUUUUAUUUCCUGUUCUUGAAUCUUGGAGAUCGUGCCAUAGCUGUAUGUGCAGUGCUUCCUCAUUUCUUUUUUACUGCAUAGUAUUUGACUGUGUGUCUAUAUUAAGGAUUUUCCAAACGGUCCCUUCGUGAUGGACACUUGGGUUAUUUCCAGUUGUUUUAAUCAUCGGUGAUGCCACAGUGAAUAAUCUUAAGCAUGAGUCAUUUUCCAUUUAUGCCUGAUCCCAUUUGGGAUGGAGUCCUAGAAGUGGGGUUGUUCGAUGGAAGGAUGAUAAUAGAUAUAAUUGUGCUCUACUUUGCCAACUUCUCUGCCAAGGGAGUUGUACCAUUCUGACUGCAAAGCCUUUUGUUUGCCCUUUGCCCUUUUUCCAUCUGAAUUUCUAGUCCUCCACUGCCUACCACUGCCCUUCCUGUUCUAGGGAGACACAGAAAUCCUUCACCUGUGUAGCCAGGGAUUUUUAAUCAUAAUCAUUUGGAUACUGAGUAAAUCUAAUUAAAAUUACCAUAGUUUCCUUGUGACCCAAAGGAUUAAGGUGAGCAUUGUCCCUGCAGUGGCUCAGUGCUGCAGUGUGGGUCCAGUCCCUGGCCUGGGAACUUCCACAUGCUGUGGAUGUGGCCAAAAAAAGAAAAAUAAAUUCUGUAAUGUUAAUUGAUUAGUAAGUUGGUACCUAUGAUAAGACCCACUGUCCGACAUGGUAGCCACUAGCCCCAUGUGGCCAUUUAAGGUCAAGUUGAAUAAAAUGAAGAUGUCAAUGCCUCUGCUGCACUGGCCACAUUUCAAGAGUUUAGUAGGCACAGGACUCUAAUGGCUACCACAGUGGGUAGCACAGUACAAAAUACCACCAUCAUCCCAGAAGGUCCUGCAUCACUGAUACACAACUCAGGGUAACGCUUUGGGGUCACUCUAGUGCCAUUCUGAUGCCUUCCUACAUCUUCCAAAGUAUUACUGGAAACAUAACUCUAUGUGAGAUCAGGCUUAUCUAUCCAUCCGCUAACCCGAUGUCACCACAUAAGAUGCGACCUGCCUCGGCUUCUUCUACGGGGAAAAACCCACCCUCUGUGGCCUUCUGCCGUCUCCUGAAGGCACGUGUGCUGUGGGAGACAGCCUGGACCAACGCCCCCCCCCCCCCAAGGUGUAACACAGUGCAAGUACCUUUUUCGGGAAGAGCAUUUAUAGGCCAAAAAAGAUAGAUGGGCACAAUCCGAAUACAAUCACCAGAAGGAUGCUGGUAAUAUUGUAAAGAAGAGGCGGUUUCAUCAACAGCGCCGAAGAGAGCCCGGCACCAAAGGCAUUGAGCUCGGAGGCAAUUUCUGAGUGGAGAACCCAGAUACUUGAGAAAGCACCUUUCCACCUCAAUUUCAGUUUUGAAGGAAAAAGCAAGGGCUGAGCUGCACAAGCAAGGAGGACGCUUGCAAGCUCCCGAAGCUCUGAGGGUUUUCACACAGUGUGGAUGCCCAUAUUGCGAGAUCGGGUGGAGCGGGAUCAUCUGUCAGCCUGUCUGUUCGCAUAGCUGUGCUAUUCAUAGAAAAUGCACCUCCUUCCCCAAAGAAACACCAUAUGCCUCUUCUCUUACCUAAUUGGGCGCAUGUGUCCUAGGGACCUGUGGCAUGCAGGGGGAGGGGAUUGUGCCAGGUGACUCAAGUGGCCACUUGGGAUGCUUCUCUAGAACCUUCCUCAUGACGGCAAGAGCAAGAGGGAACCAUAUUAAUGAACACAUUUGAAAUGAGGUUUGACUCCUGCCAUCGAUGGCAUCAUGAGAAAGGAAGCGGAAGAAGACGGGGCCAUCUCUGGGGCUCCUAAGACACUGUCCAUCACUCUUCACGACCCCCUCUGGCCCCCUGGCUCAUCCAGCCCGAGCUACCUGGCUCCCCCCAUUGAAACCCCUUCCUCCCCCCUCCCUCACCAAGCCUGUGUAACUGGACUGUCCACCCAAACAGCGAUGGAGAGAAACACCCACCUGCGGUUCUCAGGGGCUGGGAGGAGGGAACAGCAGGAGUUACUGGUUCACAGACACUAAGUUUCGGUUUGGGACAAUGAGAAAGUUCUAGAGAAGGAGGGCGUGACCGUUGCACCACAAUUUGAAUGGACAAAUUGAAUGCCACUGAAUUGUAUACCUGAACGAGGUAAAACGGUAAAUUUCAUGUCAUGGACAUUUUACCGUAAUAAAGCGUUUUGAAAAACCGCUCCGUGUUGUUGGCUGGUGUCAAUUCAAUUUCAAGGACACAGAUGGCAAGUGGACAUUUGAUCGAGGCCAUCAGUCCUAUGUGCUCCUCUGGUGUUUUCACUUUCUCACUCUCCAAACGACUGUUUCACACUUUCUCCUGUGUCCGCCUACACUCUCACGCCUUUGCUCACCCUCGAGCUGCAAUGAGCAAAUGCAGGGAAAAUGCAGGCUGUGCGACAGAAACCCCCUCAUCUUCCCAGAGACUCCCCUACCUCGAGCCGUAUUCCGUGCCUUCUCUCCCAUAACUGGGGAUGAAGUGUCCUGCUUGUAUCAAAAACUCCUCUCUGGGGUGAAAGGACUAAGGAAUUACAGCUUCAUGAUCAGAGUUUGGGUUUGGGGGUGAUGAAGAAUGUUGGAAAUCACACCAUCUAAGUGUACAGUGUUGUGAAUGGAAUUAAUUCCACUAAAAAUAGCUACCAUGGCAAGUAUAUAUAUUUUUUCACAAUAAAAAAAAUUUUUUUCUUUUAAAUCCUAGCCCUCUGACUUGGGCUGUAGAAGCCACUCAAGGACCUUCUUCCUGCAGGAUUCCCUCUGGGCCCCACGCCAUCAGCAUCCGCUGUCUUCCCAUUUCUCCCUUCACCACCCGCCUCCGCUUGGAAGUUUCGAGGUCACUCAUCCCUCUCCUCAGUCACCACUGAGCCUUCCAUCCUGACCCAUCCACUGACUGUCCUUAGGAGAGACAGAUAAGCUCUAUGCAUCCGACUGAACGGCCACUCAGCCUUCUUGAUACCCUUGUGACUCCCAAGACACUGUCCUUCCCUGCCUCCUAGGAAGCUCCGCCUGGAUCUUUCUCUGCUCUCUCCUCUGCCUGCUAACAUGUCCCCAGGACUCUGUUCCGGGCUCCCUUCCCUUGUCCCCUCACGCGACAUGCCUGGGUGACCUCAUUCAGUCACGUGUUUUAAAUGCCCAUGAAGACCAGAGUUCCCACUACGGCACGACGGGGACUCAGGUUUGAUCCCCGCAGGGCACAGUGGGUUAAGGAUCGG
rnacentral:lncRNA from 1 species